AUACUCCUGUUUAUUUAUUUAAACAAUAUUCAGGCUUACAAAACCGUUUGCAGUCCUUGACAGGAAAAUGCAUGCGAUCAUCCAAAUCAAGCUCUACUAAUGAAGAACACCAUGAAGAACAUGGUUCUUCAAGUCAAACUUCUUAUAUCCAGCGUGCAUUCAAAACUCCGGAUCUAAAUGAAUCUACGACGUCUACGGUAAACUAUGGUAAGACACAGAAUGUGUUUUUAAUUAUAAAAUUUAGAACAGUAUAAUAACUAAAGAAUAACAAAAUAUCUGCUUGAUAUGUUUCA